rnacentral:rRNA from 1 species
GGGCUGCCGCCGUCCGACUCUAGAGUCCAGAUCUAGAGUUUGAUCCUGGCUCAGGACGAACGCCGUGCUUAACACAUGCAAGUCGAACGGAAAGGCCCUGCUUUUGUGGGGUGCUCGAGUGGCGCGGGUGAGUAACACGUGGGUAACCGACUUUGGGAUAACUUCAGGAAACUGGGGCUAAUACCGGGAGCUCCUACUGCAUGAUGGGGGUUGGAAAGUUUCGGCGGUUGGGGAUGGACUCCCGGCUUAUCGGCUUGUUGGUGGGGUAGUGGCUUACCUUUGAAGGGUAGCCGGCCUGAAAGGGUGGGCCACAUUAGAUACGGCCCACACUCCUACGGGAGGCAGCAGGGGGGAAUAUUGCCAAUGGGCGGAAGCCUGAUGCAGCAACGCCGCGUGCGGGACCUUCGGGUUGUAAACCGCUUUCGCCUGUGACGAAGCGUGAGUGACGGUAAUGGGUAAAGAAGCACCGGCUAACUACGUGCCAGCACGGUGAUACGUAGGGUGCGAGCGUCCGGAUUUGGGCGCUCGUAGGUGGUUGAUCGCGUCGGAAGUGUAAUAGGGGGGGCUUAACCCUGAUUUCGAUAAA